rnacentral:rRNA from 1 species
AUUGACUAAGGUUUCCAGAGGAAGGCUCGUCCGCUCUGGGUUAGUCGGGUCCUAAGCUGAGGCCGAUAGGCGUAGGCGAUGGAUAACAGGUUGAUAUUCCUGUACCACCAUUAUUCGUUUUAAGCGAUGGGGGGACGCAGUAGGAUAGGCGAAGCGUACGAUUGGAUUGUACGUCCAAGCAGUGAGAUUGAGUGUUAGGCAAAUCCGGCACUCUUAAGAUUGAGCUGUGAUGGGGAGAGGAAAUUGUUUCCUCGAGUCGUUGAUUUCACACUGCCAAGAAAAGCCUCUAGCUAGAAUUGUGGUGCCCGUACCGCAAACCGACACAGGUAGUCAAGAUGAGAAUUCUAAGGUGAGCGAGCGAACUCUCGUUAAGGAACUCGGCAAAAUGACCCCGUAACUUCGGGAGAAGGGGUGCUCUUUAGGGUUAACGCCCAGAAGAGCCGCAGUGAAUAGGCCCAAGCGACUGUUUAUCAAAAACACAGGUCUCUGCUAAACCGUAAGGUGAUGUAUAGGGGCUGACGCCUGCCCGGUGCUGGAAGGUUAAGAGG